GCGGGUCAGCUGGCGCGUACGCCCUCCUGCGGGGCCGUGGGCCGUCCCCGGGUGGGCGUGCUCCCGCCGAAGGUCUCGGUGCUGCGCCCUGGGCCGCUCCUCGGCAGCUCUUGGGGGCCUUGGGCGUUUGACGCCCGCCUGCCCGGGACUGUGGUCCCUAAAACGCCCUGUGUCCUGGCUGUCAUGGCAACAGUUGUCAGCGGACAAACGACACUCCCUGGACAUUCGUGCGGCCGCGUCACGGCUGUUGACUGCCGCCGUCUGGUGUACAGGUCUCAGCAGUGGCGGCCUCAGGGCCAGCCCCCCUCUUGCUGUGACUGGAGUCACAUCUGCUUUAUCAGGCACCCAUGUCUCUCCCUGUAGCCCCAGUUGGACAACUAUGCAUAUCUGGGAAGAUACAAGUCCUAAAGGAAGGACAAGGGAGUGGACAGCCCUGGCACAGAGCGACCCGCUCCAUGACAGACCACAGGAAUGAAAAUGGAAUAUUACCAAAGAACCUUGGAAGAGUGUCUACAGGAAUAGCUCAGUGGUGCCUACGAGAAGUGAUACGUCAAUGCUUUCAAUUUCCGGCCCACUCAGACAUGGGGAAAUGCCAGCUACAGAGAAGUGGCUAGAAUCCGGGGCAGAGCUGCAAUGAAUUUGGACAGUCACUGCCAGAGUGGGGCCAAGUCUGGUGGGAUCCAACUGGUUUCACUGAAAGACUUCCUACCCCCAUAUCCUUCCCUGCACAUCUUCAGGGAUGCCCAAGGGCUUGUGGAGAGGAUGGGGAAGUGUGAUCUGCCCGGCCAGGCACCCACAGUGCCUACACAGGAAAAUUUAGAAGGGAGCAAUGUCCACAGUCUGGCUGUGAGAAGGAAAGAGCAGCCCCUGGAGAAACGAGGAAGGAGAGAGCCCCGUCAGGGAUGCUGGGGUGAGGGUGAGAGACUUACCCAGGCCACAAGUGCAAAGUUCUCUGGCAUCACAUUCCAGUACAGGAGUCUCUGAGUCCUAUCCCUCAGGAGUAGCUCCCACUCCUGAGACAAGCCCACAGCCACAUUCUCAAAGGUCACUGCAGCCUACCAUGAUGGGGAGAGCAAUGUCCCUGAGCCACCUCUCACUGCGACCUUCAGUCUACCCACCAAACAUCCACUCCCUGCCCCCUACCCCAGCUCCAAAACUCACAGGAUCUGCAAGGCCCAGAUGCCACUGGCACUAACUCUCCCCUCUGUCCUACUGAUCACUGUGUCACCGCAUAUCAUGCCCACACGGGCAUGAAGGCAGAUAAAUGUCAUUCAAGCACUGGGCCUGACAUGAAAGGCCCCACCUCUCUUGCUAGCACAUUCCUCAGGGGUUCCCACAGCGUGUGCCUCCCAGACACAACCAAACAUGGGCUCAGCUUCCCCCCUUAGGCUGCUAUGAGCAAGGCCAUGGGACCCUCAGUUCUCCCUCUCUCCACUGAGCACAUUGCUCCAUGGACCACAUUGCCCUCCUGUCCCCAGGUCCCACCCUCACUCCGUCAUGGCCACCUCCUCUACCCCAGCCCACAUCCAUGGUAUGUUCCUGGCCUCUACAUGCCACUCUGUCCUGCCAGAGAGUGCUUGGCAAAUACAAUCAGGAUCCCUCCUGCCCUGGACCCAGAGUGGCGCACAUGCCAGGGGAAGCCCCUAGCCCUGCUUCAAAGGCCUCUCCACCACGCCCUUUCCUGCUUAGGCCUCAGCCACCUGGAAGCACAUGCAGGGCUCAGAUACCUUAAGCCUCUCCUGCUGUGUGCUGUAUGCACUGUCCCCUCACCACAGUCAACCCUUCCUCUUUCCAGCCAAGUCUCACCCAAUACUCCACCCCACUGGCCCUGGCCUUCAGUGACCCUCCUGUCUGCUGCUGAGUUUAUCUACCAGCCUGUGUAAGGCUCUCCAGGCCCCACAAGGUCACCACAGAAGCCUGGCCAGCCCUUAGAGGGCUGAGGAAGCACCGGCCUUGGCCUCCCUGUCAUCUCACUCCCAUUACUGUUGUGCUUCCACGUCCAUCCCACGUCCACUCCCCUGUGCCAGCCUCAGCCCCCUUCUAGCCCCACCUCUCUCCCACACCCACCUCCCCCCCACACCCACCACUCCCCGUCAUCUGUCCUUGGGAUGCUCAUCAACCCCAUUCGGAUGCCCAAGACACAGGUCCAGUCCUCUAGCCAGGUCCUCCGCUUUUCUGCCCCUUAGCCACCAUGAUCUGAACGUAUCUCCUCCUAAUGUGACUCCUAGCUCCACCCCUGUCCACACAUAGGCCACCGCCUCAUGAUGUCUCCAACCUGAAUCCUGAAUCCUUCCUUUAACUCCAGACCUAUGUGUCCAGCUAUUCACUCAGUGACUCCACUACAACAUCUCAGACUCAACAUGGGCAAAAUUGAACUCCUAAUAAUCCUAAAUAGAACUCCUACUCACUUCCCCAUCUCUCAGCUGAUGGAUCUCCCCCAGCUGCAAAGGUCAAAAUUUAGGCUUAUCCCAAACUCCUCCCUUUCUCCCUCCCCUUCCACAUCAGCUUCUUUGGACCUACUGUAAAAACAAAUCCAGAAACUGUAUGUUUUCUCCACAGCCGCUACUGUGUUCCAGCCACCAACCUGGUCCAGUUGUCCCCAUGCUUGUCUAAACUGCUUCAGUGGCCUCCCUCACCCCUGUGUCUGUUCUCUACUCUGCAACCAGAGAAAGUCUAUCAAGACCUCCCCUCUUCUAUACCAAAUCUUCCAAGGUCGAAGUAGAGGCACAGUUCCUCAGCCUGCGAUUUCAGGACCUCCUGCAUCCUGGCUGUCUGGUCCCACCAGUCAUGAAGGAGACCUGUGGCUGUCACUCUGUCUCACCUGCAAGCCCGUGCACAUGGUGAUCCCUAUGCCAGUAAUACCUUCUACAAGACAGUCUAUUGGUGGCCAGAAAUCAGGACCUCUCCAUAUAACCCCUCACCUGGGUUCAGGAUCCUGAGUCUGAGGAGAGGCCUCAGAACCAACAGCAGUAGAGUGACAGUAGAGUGGCUGGCAUGGAUUCCUGGAAUGCAUCCCAGAGAUCAUAAAUGGGAGAUGGGGCAGGUGAGGGCCUGAGACAAUAUUUACUCACCUGUGCAUGGCUCCUAAGUGCUUCUGAAGCCAUGGAAACAUGUGGAGAGAGUGAGAUUGGGAAGGAAGGGCAUGCAUGUUGGAGUCCUAAGGGCUGACCCAGUCUAGUGCCUUCCCUGAAGCAAGGUGACCUCCAGCUGACUCUUUAAAUUCCUGGGCUUCAGGGAUGCCUGGGUAGCUCAGCAGUUGAGCUCCUGCCUUCAGCCCAGGGUGUGAUCCUGGAGUCCCAGGACUGAGUCCCACAUCGGGCUCCCUGCAUGGAGCCUGCUUCUCCCUCUGCCUAUAUCUCUGCCUCUCUCUGUGUGUGUCUCUCAUGGAUAAAUAAAUAAAAUCUUUUUUAAAAAAUUAAAAAUAAAUGAAUAA
rnacentral:lncRNA from 1 species